AUUGAACGCUGGCGGCAUGCUUUACACAUGCAAGUCGAACGGUAACAGGCCGCAAGGUGCUGACGAGUGGCGAACGGGUGAGUAAUGCAUCGGAACGUGCCCAGUCGUGGGGGGUAACUACUCGAAAGAGUAGCUAAUACCGCAUACGAUCUAUGGAUGAAAGCGGGGGACCGUAAGGCCUCGCGCGCUUGGAGCGGCCGAUGUCAGAUUAGGUAGUUGGUGGGGUAAAGGCUCACCAAGCCAACGAUCUGUAGCUGGUCUGAGAGGACGACCAGCCACACUGGGACUGAGACACGGCCCAGACUCCUACGGGAGGCAGCAGUGGGGAAUUUUGGACAAUGGGCGCAAGCCUGAUCCAGCAAUGCCGCGUGCAGGAAGAAGGCCUUCGGGUUGUAAACUGCUUUUGUACGGAACGAAACGGCUCUGGUUAAUACCCGGGGCUAAUGACGGUACCGUAAGAAUAAGCACCGGCUAACUACGUG
rnacentral:rRNA from 1 species